GCGAUAUAAAAUCCUAAGCGGCAAAGGAACGAAAAUCCGUCGGGCGUAAGCCCGUGCCGGUUCGAGUCCGGCCGCCCGCACCA
rnacentral:tRNA from 1 species